CAUACAGAGGGAGCAAGCUCCAGAGCUUGAAAUAAAAGGCUCUUUGCUUUUACAUGUGGGAUUCAGUCUCCCUGGUGGUCUUUCGGGGGUCCCUGUGAUCUAGGCA